GUGCUUGUACUUGGUUACUAACCAACUAUUCCCUCAACAGUGAUUCUACUCUCACUUUUCGAUCUACCGGAAUGACAUCCGAAAUUUCCGAGCCACUUGGGUGUUCUCAAAUACCACGGCUCAACUCUCGCAAUCUACUAAUUAAGUUGCUCUGAGAGUCGAUUCGCCACUUCUAUCUCUACCGCGAGUCUCACUUUUCGCCAUAGAUUACGUCUAGCACUUCGCUAGUGCCAUCUGACUCUAUACCUGUACUGGCAGGUAUUACGCCCUCACAACACGAGCAUGCCCGGGUAUCGAUACUUACCCGUCCACUCGGUCUCUACUAUGGUCAUGCACGACAAUAGUAAUUAACCACAUAAUCAUUGCAUGCAAUGCAUGGACUUCACGUCAUGCAAAACAUAUGCUUGCAUCAAUAACUCAUACCUGCAACGAUGUCGUCAGCAGUAGGGUCCUCAACCUGGGUCGCGUAUCUACGGCCACCCGGCGCUCGCCGCGAACCUUUAGGUUGCAUUGUCCUCAACACCUUCUCUCCCGACCAUGCCGCAGAUGGCACACCUGCGGGCCAUCCUAGAGAGAAAUAGGUUGUCGCCAGUGUCAGGCCCCGGCUGUCACCUUGCGGACACUCCUCCCGCACACAGCCCGGUUGCCCACACCUGUAGCACUUGCCCUCUCACAGCUCGCAAUANGGGUCCUCAACCUGGGUCGCAUAUCUAUGACCACCCGGCGCUUGCCGCGAACCCUAAGGUGACAUUGUCUUUAAUGCCCCCUCUUCCGACCGUGCCGCAGGUGCCACACCUGUAGGCCGUCCCAGAGAGAAAUAGGCUGUCGCCAGUGUUAGGCCCCGGCUGUCACCUUGCGGACACUCGUCCAGCACACAGCCCGGUUGCCCACACCUGUAGCACUUGCCCUCUCACAGCUCGCAAUACUGUGGGUAAUGAAAACACCCACAAACGACACAUCUCACUAAGGACCGAACACAGUAGGUCCCCGGAACUCGGAAUCACGAGCGCGAACACAUUGCACUCACUUAAGAACUUGACGGACCAUCGAAUCCACUCGUUGGCCGUUCUAUUUCCCUUGUCCUUGCAAUUGGACUCACACUCCCUUCGCACAAUUGCACUGCCUUGUUCUAGCCACAAGGCCUAAUCCUCAAACCUUCUCUAAUCCUUUUCUUUAGAAAAGCUCCUGGAGAGUGAGAGAAAGAAGAACACGGAGUUGAAGGGGUACUCCUUGCUGUGAACAAGGAAAGAAGAGGUGUGGGGUUUAUACAAACCGCCACGACUGCAUUUAAACCCCCCAACGUUUCUCAUUUGCAGCAGAUCUCAACCUGCUGUCAGACCCAUUGUGUACCGGUACACGGGCUUUUGUACCGGUACAAAGCUGUGCAGAGGCAAACCCGAGAGCAACCUCCUCGGAUUUUACCAAAGGGUACCGGUACAAACCAGGGGUGUACCGGUACACUUUUGCGAAAACUCAAACCCGAGAGCAAUGCUCUUCUCGGGCCGCUUGCUGUACCGGUACAACCAUCAACAUGUACCGGUACACUUUCCUCCAGAACGUAGUUUUAGCUUGUUUUCGACUCCAACUCGCACCGAUCGAUGCUAAAGCCGUUCUAACUCUUUUAGAGCCCAAUUUUUAUUCUUCCAACAUCGUCGGAAUGUCAAUUGGACUUUAUCCAACUAUUUCUCUCAACGCACUUUGGUCAAUUUGACUAAAGUUUGAUGUUUAUUUACCGAAAUUUCAGUACGUUACAUUCUCCCCUCCUAAAAGGAGUUUCGUUCUCAUUAUCCCGCACUAUGUCCGGGAUGAAAUUCACGACACGGGAGAAUUCCCGCUCGUAUUCCCUCACGGCGCGAUCUACCUGCCGCAGCUUCGAGAACCUUUCCUGAAGCUUUCUUUUCCACCAUCAGGGGAGUAAACAGAGAAUACCAAUCCCCGAAACUCAUCCCAAACCACAGGAGGGAGACCAGGCAGUCGAUUCCACUCGACGCCUGUCCACCACACCUUCGUCGCGACUCCCGGCCGUACUUAACGAGCCGGAACUGGUGCGGUCACUACUGAUCCCCUAACUCUUGGAGUCUCUUAACUCGCUCCUCCCGGCAUAUGGCAGCCUUCUGCUGACACUACACUAAUUCGGCUCAUUACCCCGCCACACACACAAGAGUGGCCAAUCGCUCACGAAGUCUCAAGUCUCCGCUCGUCUCAAAUUGCCCAGGGACACCACUUGGCCCAUCCUGCGCCGAUCUAAACAAAGAUCGCCUACGCAGUGCUGUCGUUUCUUAAAACGCGACAACUCUAUUAAUCCUCGACCUUCUAGGUCGAACACGAGACACUUAUUAUGGACUCAAAUCGGGCGAAAGUCACGGAGGGGCGUCUAUUCUCAUCACUCGGUUUCAUGUUGUGCGCGCCCAACACGAACACCAUUGGUUGAGAACAAACCACACCUUGAAUCUACCUCUAACAUCUGUUUUAGAGGUUUACGACACAACCCAAUUAAUUAACCUUUCGCCAAAAGUCACAAGUCCUCGUCUCUCACGAACUUUAAUCUCCUAUGGUUUACUAUCCUAGGGUCUUCUAGGUCCAACUAAACCAUUUUCUAUUAUUCUUUUUAUGUUAUUUUUAUGCUCUGAUACCAUCUUAUCUGUCACGCCCCGAGCCCGCCUAUUUGGCCGGUUUCGGGCACGCCGACAGACCGCCGAACGGACAGGGUUUCCCCAGUACCACGGACAGAGUCUCCCCUGUACAUUCAAGGCGUCGCAAUCAAUACAAUGUACAAAGUUCCAACCAGAAACACAUUUCAAGCAAAGAUUGCAUAAGGAAGUAUCAAAAACAUAAUCUUGUUAUUACAAGCAUUCACAUUCAUACAUUUUACAUCCCAAAUACUUAUUACAUUCAACUUCCAAAUACAAUCCGAUUUAACAUGAUUAUUACAACUUGAUUCUUUUCAUUUUCUACAAUCCUAAGCAAGCCGACUCAGGGUACCGCUAUCUCUGGUCUCGGUGGUAGGGCGCUAACUAUGAUGCUACGCCCUCGCCUCGCGCCGCCGCGCCGCUCACGUGUGAACCUGUAACACCCCAAAACCACGUGGGGUGAGAACCAACUCCAUGGUUCCCAGUGGGUACGGCCACCUAAGGGAAAAGCUCGACCAAUAGGUCCAAGGGAGGCAACUGCAAGUUAGUCCAAUAAACAGAUAGAUAUAUAUUUUGAUUAUGCAACGAAUAAAACCAUGCAUUGCCUCACGAAUGCAAUAUGAAGAUCAUGCAAUGAUGCGACUAUACAAUCAACUAGUAAUUCAAUCGAUUACUACUUUCAUCCAAUUGACAUUUAAGGUUUUCUGUCAUUUACCAUUUUAAUCAUAAAGUUUCAUCUAUCUUUACAAAGCUAACCGCCCGACUCGGUCUUGAGUCAAUCGUCUGCGGAGUACCGCACAAAGCCAGGCCCGAGGCGAAGGACGUCUCACUUGCACCUCGGCCUUAAAUCCCCUCAACUAGGAUAUCACUAUAGUUCAUAAGUUUAUUACCCAAUCACUUGGCUAACCCGAAGAUUUCGCCCUCAACAAACUCACCAACCCAAAAUCCCAUUAACCGGGGAGAUACCCGCUACAACCCGGUGGGACCGUCCUCUGGGGAGAUACCCGCUACAACCAGUGAUGUCGACUCCGGAGCACAUCGCCCGAGGGGGAGCUACCACAACCUCGAGCAAGGACUAAAGGUGAGUAUGAUCAAUGAUCAAAUCCAAAAUCUUGAGGAUGUCAAGUUCAAUCCAUUCCUUAACUUUAGGAAGACUAUGCUCAAAUGACCCUAACUCUAGGGUUGAAAUGUCAUAAUAUUUCCAUCAUUCUUUUCUUUGCAUUCUUUACUAUCACUUGUGUCAUAUACACUACUAUAUUCUUGGACUCAUGCCACACUUAUUUUCUAAGUGUUCAACAUACCAUAAGUGUUUCCACUAUACUAAUCAUAUGCCACUCGAUCUAAUAUAUAUAGAUUGUCCACGUCACAAAUCAUAGUUCAUAUGUCAUUAUUUUUCAAUGUCGAGUUCUCUAAUUCACCUAGAGUUUAUCGACCCAAGU
rnacentral:lncRNA from 1 species